GCAAGUCGAGCGCGCCCUUCGCUGUGAGCGGCGGACGGGUGAGUAACGCUUGGUAAUAUGCCCUUCUCUAAGGAAUAGCCUCUGGAAACGGAGAGUAAUACCUUAUACGCCCUUUGGGGGAAAGAUUUAUCGGAGAAGGAUUAGCCCGCGUUAGAUUAGGUAGUUGGUGGGGUAAUGGCCUACCAAGCCUACGAUCUAUAGCUGGUUUGAGAGGAUGAGC
rnacentral:rRNA from 1 species